ACACACACACACACACACACUUUUGAACUCUAGGCCUAUAUCUUACUCCUCUACUUAUCAUGUCCUGUCUCAAAUGCUCCCUGGCUUCCUUGUACACAGAAGAAUGUUGGGGCUAUCUCACUGUGCAGUUAUGAGUAAAACCAUCGCAAGGCAAAGCCAACUUUACAUUCCUCUUCAGUAAACCCUAGAUCUGGGCCUGCCAUUCCCACAGCAGCUGUCCAUUUGUGUCUCCCCAGCAGGAACUGAGAGAGUUCCUUCUACAACCCAGCCAGGGUUAGACUGUGAAUGGCUGUCCAUUGGUUAACACUCAAUGUGCAGUCAAGAGCCAGGGAAAAGGAAGGGUGCUGGAAGGAGAGAGAAUCAGGAUGCCCCACUUCCUGGUGGAAGGCCAGGGCUGUGUGUGGAGGGGUGGACUGAGGUGUGUGCUGCAUUUCCAUGGUUUCCUCCUCCCAGGCUCUGACUGCAGCUCUCCCCCUCUGGUUGCCUCACAAUGAGGCCUACGAGCUUUUCAAGGGAAGACUGGAAAGGCCAAAGAGAAACCCCAGGACCUUGACUGCAGGGGCAGGAAACCCCUGGAAAGCCAGGCAGACAUUUGCCAACCAUCUAGGUAGGGUCCGGUGUGGAAGCGGUGGAAGAUUCCACAGGACUAAGAGGGGAGCUCUCUGGCUGCUGCUCAGAAGGCCAUGAAUCCCAGCACUCUGCUCCACCUUGCUUCAGGUUCCCUCGCAAACAGCCUCACAGCAUCUCUCAAGACGGCAGAGCCCAGGGCAACAGAAGAAUCAAGCCAACAACAGGAUCCUUCAUAAUGAGGGCUGAAAUCCCACGUCUGCAUACUCAGUCCCUGAACGGAAUUUUAAUUUCACCUUAAGACCUAGGACAAAUGGAAUUUCCAGCUGCAAAAUAAACAACUUUUAAAGUGGGACCCAGCCAAGAGAAAGUCAAUUAUGCAGCUCCUUGGGGAGUUUAGACACUUCCUGAAGCUCUGUCCAUUUGCAAUGUAAUCUUUCCGAAAGGUGGCAGCCACUCUGGAACACUAGGUCCUGUGAGCAAUUGCUCAGUCAGGUCACCUGGUACCUACCCCCAGGCCGAGGGCGCUCUCCAUCCCUCAGAAGGCAGGCGUCCGGUGCUCUGGGCAAUCUGAGCUCUCCUCCAGUGAGACUGGCUUGGAAACUUAGUGCUUGCAACUCUGAGGUGCUAAUUAUCUCUGUGAUUGGAUUUCUGCCCUGUCUGCCCCGUUGCCUGACAUCCCUAGGGACCUCCUGCUUCCGUCUUGUGCUUGCCCAUCUCGGGGAUGCGACUGAUCAGGUACGUAUGCACCCGAGGGUGAGAUUGUUUUUCCCCAAAAGCUGCCUGACAAAGUCACUGUGUCCUGUGCAUCUAGGUCAAGGGCUUUCGCAGGCCUCUAAGAGGUCUCUCCGGAGAGGCUGACCUCCGUAUGUCAUCAUGGAGUGUGGAGUGCGGAUAGCGGAGCUGGCUUCCUCCCCUGGACUGUCUUGUAUCACCUCAAAGCACUCCCUAAGUGGAUUGGUCACCUACCCUGUCACACGGGUUCAGAAGAGCAACUUAAGUAGGUUCACAGCAAUGUUCUUCCCCGUGUUCACUGGCUUCUCUAUACUCCAACUUCCAAAUGCCCCUGGCUGGUGAAAGAUGGCCAGCGUUAUCCCCACAGGCGGGAAUGGAUGGUCCUUCUAUUCCCCAAAGGACCACAGCGUUGUUAAUCUCAAAGUCCACGUCUGGCUUUCAGUUAUUCUCCUGUCUUUCUGCCCCCUUCCUUUGUCUCACAAUUUUUUUUCUAACUUCCUCCUGCAUGCUGGGUUUGGUAUUUUUGUUUACUAAACUUCUAUGGGGCGCAGACAGAAGAGCUGCCUCUUCUGUCUUAUCCCCAGUUUUCCGGUUUUGUGAGAGAGCAAAUAAACACACUGGGGAGCCUCUGAUGCACAGAGAGGCACAGCUGUGGUCUGAGACAGCAAGCGGGGCAGGGAUUCUAGCGGGGGACAGGCCAGUUUCCACCGAGCUGAGCUGACGUGAGCUGGGGAUGGAAGGGGGCCCUGACGUUCCUGCACAGAGGCUUCUGGGAAAGUUUCGAAGUUUUCUGUUUUGUUUUGUUUUUUAUACUUUUAUUGGUAUUUAAUUUUCAGUAAGAUUUCUGCGACCCGUAAAUGUUCCGUGAGCCCACAUGCAGGCAGAGAAUAGUUGUGAUACGCGCUAUCUGAAGAGGCAAUAUUCUGUAACUCAGUUACACAGAAAAAAGAGUCAGACGUUUUUGUUUUUUUAAAGUUUCGACAACAUUAGAAGGAAAUCUGCUUCAAGCGUGAUGUUUCAGAUACUAAAACGGGGCUGUGCUGACUCCCAGCUCCAGGAACAGAAGGUCAAAGGCCAACACAAAGCUGUCACAAUCCUUCCUCCCAGCUGUCCCUCAUCCUCUUGGCUUUCCCUCUAGAAGGCUCCUUGACCAUGGCGGGGUGGGUAUUGGAAGCAGAAUCUGUGGGUGAUCUUGAAAACUGCAGCACAGAAGCCUGCCUUACAGUGUGCAGGGCUGCUCCUCAAAAAGGGGGUUUCUAGGGGUUGGGGAUUUAGCUCAGUGGUAGAGAGCUUGCCUAGCAAGCACAAGGCCCUGGGUUCGGUCCCCAGCUCCGGAAAAAAGAAAAAAAAAAGGGGGGGUUUCCUCACAGCUUUAAUUUUUCUACCCAAAUAAUUUUACUUAAAAAUUUUUAUUACACUUAUUAGGUUCUGUUUAGGUGGAGAGGAGCUCACAGGACUCAGCUCUCUCACCCCGCCAUGCUUGUCCUCAGGAUCAAACUCAGGUGGUCAGGCUUGGUGGCAAGCAUCUUCACCCAUCGAACCAUCUCCCCAGGCCCCCAAAGAAUCCUCCUUAAAACCUGUAAACCAUUUUCUUUUCCCCAAACCUCAGAGCCACGUUUUCUCACCAAGGCCUCC
rnacentral:sRNA from 1 species